rnacentral:rRNA from 1 species
CAAAGGAAUUGACGGGGCCGCACAAGCAGCGGAGCGUGUGGUUAAUCGAUGCAACACGAAGAACCUUACCAGGGCUUGACAUGUUAGAAGUAGGAACCCGAAAGGGGGACGACCAGUAUCCAAUCUGGAGCUAACACAGGUGCUGCAUGGCUGUCGUCAGCUCGUGCCGUGAGGUGUAUGGUUAAGUCCCACAACGAGCGCAACCCUCGUCGCUAGUUAAUUUCCCUAGCGAGACCGCCUCGCAAAACGAGGAGGAAGGCGGGGAUGGCGUCAAGUCAGCAUGGCCUUUAUACCCUGGGCGACACACACGCUACAAUGGGUGGCACAAUAGGUUGCAACAGCGCGAGCUGAAGCUAAUCCCCAAAGCCAUCCUCAGUACAGAUUGCAGGCUGAAACCCGCCUGCAUGAAGUCGGAGUUGCUAGUAACCGCAAAUCAGCAUGUUGCGGUGAAUACGUUCUCGGGCCUU